rnacentral:tRNA from 3 species
GGGCGGCUAGUUCAGCGGACAGAACGCUUGGUUCCGGACCAAGAGGUCAUGGGUUCAAAUCCCAUGCCGCCCG